UACGUAGGGUGCGAGCGUUGCCCGGAUUUAUUGGGCGUAAAGGGCGCGUAGGCGGCCUGGCGCGUCGGCUGUGAAAUCUCCCGGCUCAACUGGGAGGGACGGCCGAUACGGCUGGGCUUGAGCGAGGUAGGGGAAGAGUGGAAUUCCCGGUGUAGUGGUGGAAUGCGUAGAUAUCGGGAGGAACACCAGUGGCGAAGGCGGCUCUCUGGACCUCUGCUGACGCUGAGGCGCGAAAGCGUGGGAGCGAGUCCGG
rnacentral:rRNA from 1 species